GCCUACGGGGCGCAGCAGUGGGGAAUAUUGCACAAUGGGGGAAACCCUGAUGCAGCAACGCCGCGUGAGUGAGGAAGUAUUUCGGUAUGUAAAGCUCUAUCAGCAGGGAAGAAAAAAGACGGUACCUGACUAAGAAGCCCCGGCUAACUACGUGCCAGCAGCCGCGGUAAUACGUAGGGGGCGAGCGUUAUCCGGAUUUACUGGGUGUAAAGGGAGCGUAGGCGGCCUGGCAAGCCUGAUGUGAAAUACCGGGGCCCAACCCCGGGGCUGCAUUGGGAACUGCCAGGCUGGAGUGCCGGAGAGGG
rnacentral:rRNA from 1 species